rnacentral:rRNA from 1 species
AGAGUUUGAUCCUGGCUCAGAGUGAACGCUGGCGGCGUGCUUAACACAUGCAAAGUCGAACGGAGUAAAAGUAGCUUGCUAUUUUACUUAGUGGCGCACGGGUGAGUAAUGUAUAGCUAACCUGCCCUUUAGUGGGGGACAACAGUUGGAAACGACUGCUAAUACCCCAUACUCCUUCUUAUCAUAAGGUAAGUUGGGAAAGAUUUAUUGCUAAAGGAUGGGGCUUUAUGGUAUCAGCUAGUUGGUGGGGUAAUGGCCUACCAAGGCGAUGACGCCUACCUGGUCUGAGAGGAUGAUCAGGCACACUGGAACUGAGACACGGUCCAGACUCCUACGGGAGGCAGCAGUGGGGAAUAUUGCACAAUGGGGGCAACCCUGACGCAGCGACGCCGCGUGGAUGAUGAAGGCCCUUGGGUCGUAAAGCUCUGUCAGAGGGGAAGAAGUGUAUGGAUGCUAAUACCAUCUUUACUUGACGGUACCCUCAAAGGAAGCACCGGCCAACUCCGUGCCAGCAGCCGCGGUAAUA